GGGAUAUUGGACAAUGGGGGGAACCCUGAUCCAGCGACGCCGCGUGAGUGAAGAAGUAUUUCGGUAUGUAAAGCUCUGUCAGCAGGGAAGAAAGCAAUGACGGUACUUGACUAAGAAGCUCCGGCUAAAUACGUGCCAGCAGCCGCGGUAAUACGUAGGGGGCAAGCGUUAUCCGGAUUUACUGGGUGUAAAGGAAGCGUAGACGGUGAAGCAAGUCUGAAGUGAAAGGCGGGGGCUCAACCCCCGGACUGCUUUGGAAACUGUUUGACUGGAGUGCAGGAGAGGUAAGUGGAAUUCCUAGUGUAGCGGUGAAAUGCGUAGAUAUUAGGAGGAACACCAGUGGCGAAGGCGGCUUACUGGACUGUAACUGACGUUGAGGCUCGAAAGCGUGGGGAGCAAACA
rnacentral:rRNA from 1 species